GCUUGUCUCAAAGAUUAAGCCAUGCAUGUCUAAGUAUAAACAACUUUAUACUGUAAAACUGCGAACGGCUCAUUAUAUCAGCAAUAAUUUAUUUGAUGGUUUCUUACCCCAUGGAUAACCGUGGUAAUUCUAGAGCUAAUACAUGCUGGUUAGCCUGACUUCGAGGAAGGGCUGUAUUUAUUAGAUAACAAACCAAUAUUCUUCGUGUCUAUUGUGAUGACUCAUAAUAACUGAUCGAAUCGCAUGGUCCUUGACCGCGAUAAAUCAUUCAAGUUUCUGCCCCAUCAGCUUUCGAUGGUAGUGUAUUGGACUACCAUGGCUUUAACGGGUAACGGAGGAUUAGGGUUCGAUUCCGGAGAGGGAGCCUGAGAAACGGCUACCACAUCUAAGGAAGGCAGCAGG
rnacentral:rRNA from 1 species